rnacentral:rRNA from 1 species
UUUUUAUGAGAGUUUGAUCCUGGCUCAGGACGAACGCUGGCGGCGUGCCUAAUACAUGCAAGUCGAACGCUUCUUUUUCCACCGGAGCUUGCUCCACCGGAAAAAGAGGAGUGGCGAACGGGU